rnacentral:rRNA from 1 species
CUGUGGGAAGCAGGAGGGACCACCCUCCAAGGCUAAAUACUACCUAGUGACCGAUAGCGUAUAGUACCGUGAGGGAAAGGUGAAAAGAACCCCGGGAGGGGAGUGAAAUAGAACCUGAAACCCUGCACUUACAAGCUGUGGAAGCACAUUUCUUGUGUGACCGCGUACUUUUUGUAGAACGGGCCAACGAGUUACGUUAAGUAGCAAGGUUAAGCACUUAAGGUGCGGAGCCGUAGCGAAAGCGAGUUUUAACUGAGCGUUCAGUUAUUUGACGUAGACCCGAAACCGGGCGACCUACCCAUGAGCAGGAUGAAGCGAAAGUAAAAUUUCGUGGAGGUCCGAACCCACGAGCGUUGAAAAGCUCGGGGAUGACUUGUGGG